rnacentral:rRNA from 1 species
UAGGGAAUCUUCCGCAAUGGACGAAAGUCUGACGGAGCAACGCCGCGUGAGUGAAGAAGGAUUUCGGUUCGUAAAACUCUGUUGUUAGGGAAGAAAAAAUGUAUAGUAACUAUAUACAAAAGAGACGGUACCUAACCAGAAAGCCACGGCUAACUACGUGCCAGCAGCCGCGGUAAUACGUAGGUGGCAAGCGUUGUCCGGAAUUAUUGGGCGUAAAGCGCGCGCAGGUGGUCUUUCAAGUCGGUGGUUAAAGGCUACGGCUCAACCGUAGUUAGCCUCCGAAACUGGAAGACUUGAGUGCAGGAGAGGAAAGUGGAAUUCCCAGUGUAGCGGUGAAAUGCGUAGAUAUUGGGAGGAACACCAGUAGCGAAGGCGGCUUUCUGGACUGCAACUGACACUGAGGCACGAAAGCGUGGGUAGCAAACAGG